UACAGAGGUCUCAAGCGUUGUUCGGAUUCAUUGGGCGUAAAGGGUGUGUAGGUGGCGCGCUAAGUCGGGUGUGAAAUUUCGGAGCUUAACUCCGAAACUGCAUUCGAUACUGGCGGUGCUUGAGGACUGGAGAGGAGACUGGAAUUUACGGUGUAGCAGUGAAAUGCGUAGAUAUCGUAAGGAAGACCAGUGGCGAAGGCGGGUCUCUGGACAGUUCCUGACACUGAGACACGAAGGCCCAGGGGAGCAAAACGGG
rnacentral:rRNA from 1 species